AUUCGUGUGUACGAUGCGUUAGAGUGUUGACGUACGAAGAAAACGUUGUGAGAGAUAAUACAUGGUGAUUCUUCGGUGAACUAAAAAAGAUUAAAACAAUGUCAAUGCCUCACCGUACGCAGAGACAACAAUGUUACUUGUGCGAUUUACCCCGCAUGCCAUGGGCAAUGCUGCACGACUUUUCCGAGCCGGUAUGUCGUGGGUGUGUCAACUAUGAAGGUGCAGAUAGGAUAGAAAUGGUACUGGAGAGUGCACGGAGUAUGAAGAGGUCGCAUGGAUUCCACGAGAGUCGCCAGUCAGUGAAACACCACGGACUGCCUCCCCAGAGGACUGCCAUUGACCAGCAUGGGUCCAUUGACCACCCACGUGGCCACCCGCCCCUCGAGCGUUACGACAGCCGGUCUAGAGCCAUGAUGAGUGACUAUAAUACGCCGCCACAGAACCAUUCUAACGGUGGUGUCCCGGGGCGGGUCGAGGAUCAAAUGCAAGAGCACCACCGCGCGUCCAACAUGCCGAUGUCGUCGGCUCGAGCAGUGUCAGCGGUGUUUCCCAUACACCAUCUUCCGGACCACAAUGCCAGGUUUUGCGCACACCCCCAGGGCAGACCAGGGUACGUACCCAACCCAAACGUUGCUUCAAUGGGCGGUCAUAGUCUGCAGCAUACAAAGAAACGUAGCGCGGACCAUGAUGAUGAUGAUGCUUCAGGCAACCAUCAUGAGGAUAACAUUUUCAAAUUUACUUCGCCGGAAGAUAUGGCGAAGCGUCCACAAAUUGUCCGCGAAACAAUUGCAGCCUUGUCGUCAGCAGUUCCGUUUGAAAUUCGAUUCAAGAAAGACUAUCAUUUUGUUGGACGUGUCUUUGCAUUUGAUUCAACUUCGAAAAAUGGUGUCGAUUUUGAGUUGAAGGUGUUCAUGGAGUACCCUCUUGGUUCAGGUAAUAUUUACAACAGUGCAUCAAGUGUUGUAAAACAAAUGCACGUAGACAGCAUGAAAGAUGUGGGCAAAGGGCUCUCAUCUGGUUACAAGUAUUUGGAGUACGAAAUGAAGCAUAAUUCGAAUGACUGGAAAGUUUUAAGUGAGCUUUUAUCAGAAACUGUAAGGUUUUUCAAAGAAGCUGUUAAACCUGAAAUAAUUCCAUCUCCCUACCACAACCCAAGUUACCGAUAACAUCACUUCCGGUCCCGUCUCGCCGAACAACCGGAACUCCCUCACAAAUCCGGGUAGUUCGCAAGGAACCUCUGUGGCAAGACGGGGUCCACCAAUAUCCAUCAAAGAAAGUGCCCCGUCUUCGUUGUUGGAGACCAACGUACAAAGCUCAGAGACCUUAAAAUGCACACUUUGCCACGAGCGUCUCGAGGACACGCACUUUGUACAGUGUCCAUCAAUAAGUGAGCACAAGUUCUGUUUCCCGUGCUCCAGGAAUAGCAUCAAAAUGCAAGGCGCUGGAUCAGAGGUGUACUGUCCCAGUGGCAAGAAAUGCCCCCUGGUUGGGUCCAACGUUCCCUGGGCUUUCAUGCAGGGGGAAAUUGCGACAAUUCUUGGUGGCGAAGUAAGACCAGACAUGAAUAUCAAAAAAGAACGUGACACGUGACUUUACUAGAAAUAUUGAUGUGACUAAAACCGAAACCCAAAACGGUUUUUGAUAUUCUCUCUCAGUUUAUAUUGUCCAAGUAUUUCUUGCCUGCAAACAAGAAGAUAUUCGAGAAGAAUAUACUUUAUCAAAGGAGUUACGGAAGCGUUUUUCGGGCAUUGACAUUGUGUCCACUGACUUCAUUUUUUGUAACAUCGGUUAAUAGCACAGACGAUGAAACUGGUGUUAAGCAUGCCUGGAUUUCGGACACUUGCGCAAGAAAGCAUUGAGACAGUUGUGAAAAAUAGAUUAAAAGCAAAAGAUUGCGUAAUUUGCAAAUUUUUUUGUGACAUUUUUUCAUGUUUUUCAACAACUGCCGAGUGCCGUGGUCAGUUCCCGCUCCAUUAUACACUUGUGGUGUCGUGUUUUAUCGAACUUAUAUGUCUACAAUUUGUGCUGCUGUACUACUGUAUGAUCACAGUUUAGACAAAUUUUCAACGCACAGACAUUUACUUUUAUCGUCGUGAUAAAUGUUGAUAUAUUGUUUUUAUUUUUAAAAGUUGUUAUUAUCGUUAUGUAUGUUAAUUAUUCGUAAAUACAAGAAAAUUUCAACACUU
rnacentral:misc_RNA from 1 species